UAGUUAUAUGCUAACUUCUGAGACUAAGCCAUGCAUGUUCUUGUAUGAGUUUUUAACUGAAACGGUGGACGGCUCAUUAAAAAGGUAUUUAGCCCUUUCUUUCACUCGUCUUAGCGGAUAUGCUUGGGAAAUCUGAGCCUAAUACGUGUGGUAGUUCUGAGCAAAGCUGAUGCUUUGUGCUUUAAAGUGAUGUUUUAUGCAUAAGACACACUCUUUGAUAUUAGUAGUUUAUCUACAGUCCGAAAGGUGGAAUUCCUACCUAUCAGCGGGGCGCUGUGGUAGUUUCACAGCGGUGCUUCAACGGGUAACGGAGAAUUAGGGUUUGAUUCCGGAGAGGGAGCCUGAGAGAUGGCUGCUACAUCCACGGAUAACAGCAGGCGCGCAACUUAUCCAAUCUUGUAAAAGGGAGGUAGUUAGGAGGAGUAGUGGGAACAGCUUUUUAGCCGUUUACUGCAAUGGAGGGUCAGCGUUAAGGGUUCUGAGAAACAACU
rnacentral:rRNA from 1 species